AUUGAACGCUGGCGGUAUGCUUAACACAUGCAAGUCGAACGGUAACAGGUCUUCGGAUGCUGACGAGUGGCGGACGGGUGAGUAACGCGUAGGAAUCUGCCUAUUAGUGGGGGACAACGUGUGGAAACGCACGCUAAUACCGCAUACGCCCUACGGGGGAAAGGAGGGGACCUUCGGGCCUUUCGCUAAUAGAUGAGCCUGCGUUAGAUUAGCUAGAUGGUGGGGUAAAGGCCUACCAUGGCGACGAUCUAUAGCUGUUCUGAGAGGAAGAGCAGCCACACUGGGACGGAGACACGGCCCAGACUCCUACGGGAGGCAGCAGUGGGGAAUAUUGGACAAUGGGCGCAAGCCUGAUCCAGCAAUACUGCGUGUGUGAAGAAGGCCUUAGGGUUGUAAAGCACUUUCAAUAGGGAGGAAAAAGAGUAGGCUAGUACCCUGCUUAUUGACAUUACCUAUACAAGAAGCACCGGCUAACUCCGUGCCAGCAGCCGCGGUAACAC
rnacentral:rRNA from 1 species